UCUCCCCCCAUUUUCUUAAACCAGAGUUCCCCAAAAUAGGGGUCAUCUUAUACAUGGGGGCGUCUAUAGAUGGAAAAAUACGGUAACUGUAUAAUCCAGUAUUUUAACAGGAGGAAAUCUGCCUUCGGAGGGAGCCGUGUGAGGACCUGCUGAACUCAACCAAAAUAAAUAAAAUUAACAAAGAGUUGCUGAUAGAAACGAUGUACACGGUCGGAUCCGUAGAUGAAAAAAGGCAGCCGGUUCCAGACCACGGGUUUUAAAUCGGCCUUCCUCAACCAGACUCCAAAAGCCAGGGAGGUGCGGUCGCCGGAAGGCGCUCCCCGGAAGACCCAUGCUCAACGUCGCCCGCUCGGCGCGCUCUUUCCGCUCUAACACUCCCGACAGGUCGCGGGUCACCAUCGCCAGCAGGAAACGCCUGGAGGAUGAAGAGGAAACCAGCUACUGGCGCUCGGCCACCUUCGGGGUCCUGCUCGCCUCUGCCAUUCUGGCCACACUGGUGGCACUCAUGUGCUUCCAAG